AUAUCGGUAACAGCAAGCUAUCAAAAUUUGCAAGUAUUUUGAAUUGAGGAAAAUUUGGGUACAGCAAGAAGGAAGAUCUGGAAUUACUAUUAUUUUACAGUAAUCAGGAAACUGGGAAAAGAGAUGAAAUAGCUUCUGACCUUGACAGUAACACAGCAUAUAAAGAGCAAGCAAAGGCAAAGAUCAUUUUGCCUUACUGGGGAAAGUUAUGGAAGUAAGGGAGAAGUCAGUCAAUGCAACAGAGAAGUCAGCAGAAGAGCAAAAAUCACAAACCUAGAGGUAGCUAGAGGAACAAUUGGAAAGAGGAUAGUAUCUGGAUUAACUCAAAAAUUCCAUUUAACAGCAUGAGAAGCAUGCUAAGGCGUUGCAGAAGCUGUUAGAAGAGAGGAAGAAGCAUUUGGAAUCGGUUUCCAAGAGAGCAAGCUUGAACAUGAUGUCAGACAAAUUGAAUUGCAGCUAUUGGAGAAUGACGCUCCUGCUGUUAAUGAUAGAGGCUUGCAGUUGAAAAUGAGUGAGCAAUUCAUGAAGAAAGGCAAUUAUUUUGAGCAGCAGAUGAAUGACAACCAAAAAGAUGAAGUGAUUUGCGAGAGAAGCAAAACGAUGAAGUGGUCUGCCAGUGAUAUGGCUAACAAGUCUUCAACAACUGCUGUCACUUUUGCUAUAAAUAUAACUGGAGAAAGCACCAUUUUGAAGAACCUCCGCUGACAUGUAGUGACGAACAUCAACACCUCUUUUCAGCAAACAGAUCAAAUGUAGCUAGGUUAGCCUAGAAAUAGAACAAUAUAUUUUUGACAAGCUGUGUCAACAUCAGUUGUAUUGUAUAUUUGCACAUUAUCAGAACAUUCACAUUAA